AGUGAACGCUGGCGGUAAGCCUAACACAUGCAAGUCGAACGGCAGCACAGUAAGAGCUUGCUCUUACGGGUGGCGAGUGGCGGACGGGUGAGGAAUACAUCGGAAUCUACUUUUUCGUGGGGGAUAACGUAGGGAAACUUACGCUAAUACCGCAUACGACCUACGGGUGAAAGCAGGGGAUCUUCGGACCUUGCGCGAUUGAAUGAGCCGAUGUCGGAUUAGCUAGUUGGCGGGGUAAAGGCCCACCAAGGCGACGAUCCGUAGCUGGUCUGAGAGGAUGAUCAGCCACACUGGAACUGAGACACGGUCCAGACUCCUACGGGAGGCAGCAGUGGGGAAUAUUGGACAGUGGGCGCAAGCCUGAUCCAGCCAUACCGCGUGGGUGAAGAAGGCCUUCGGGUUGUAAAGCCCUUUUGUUGGGAAAGAAAAGCAGCAGGUUAAUACCCCGCUGUUCUGACGGUACCCAAAGAAUAAGCACCGGCUAACUUCGU
rnacentral:rRNA from 1 species